CUGGUACCUUUUUUACUGUAGAGAGGGAGGACCACAGAUUGCAUCAUGUUCAUAGGCUGCACAGUCAACAUAUGGUCUAGUUACUAGCCUGGAACUUACUGACUGAAACACAGCAAAGUUGAGCCAAUUUUUAGGCUCUGUUUGUGCUUGUGAAAUGAAAUAUAUCCAAUUUUACCAAACCACUCAGUCUCCUCACACCUUCUCUGUUUCCAGUGAUGUCUCUUUCAAGCAAGUCUUCCAAAGGGCUCUUGUUCCAGAGGACUGAAUAGAUCUUCAAGUCCUUGCAUACUGUCAAGCAUUUACAUCAGGGCCCUCACUGCCUUGGAUGCACUUGGAGAAUUUUAGCUGCAACAGGAUGCAAAAAGUUCAAGCCAAGGGUACAGGGAGAAGAAAGUGAAAGUGGAAAUUAAAGGGCCCAAGUAGGAGAGAGCAGAAGAAAAAGAAACAAACAAACAAGAACAACAUAAAAACAAGCAAUCGUGCAAACAAACAAACAACCAAUGGAGCAUCACAGGGCUAUGGAACAUUUAAUUAAGAAAAGACUUCCAUCUUGUUCCCAGAGGUGUUUAUGACUUAAUGGAUAUAAAUGGGUGCCAGCAUUAUGGGUGCUGCCUGUUAUCAUGUAUUAUAAUACCAGGGAAUGAUUGCAAGAGAUGCGCAAUAGGUAUCCAACUACAUACAUGAAAUUACAAAAAGACUGCAAUUUAAAACGGAAAUAUAGACAUGUUAAAAAUAUCAACCAUUUCCUAGUCAUUAUUGCUGAUUAAAUUUCAAAAAUGAAUAAUGCUGAGAGAACUUAUAGACCUGCAGACAACAGAUCCUUUAUUAUUAGAGAAAAAAAUAUUGGAUCAGAAUGAGCAAAUGCCAGCUUGUAUGUACAGAUCAAACCCGUGAAUCCAAGGCAUAAUUUCAAUUUCUCAACACAAUGUAUGAAAGGAUAUAUAGGCUAGCUUUAAUUUAAACAUUUAAAAGAGUUAGUUGAGGAUGCACUUUUUCGUUUCCUUUUGUUUUGAGAUGGAGUCUCGCUUUGUCGCCCAGGCUGGAGUGCAGUGGCACGAUCUCGGCUUACUGCAACCUCUGCCUUCCAAGUUCAAGCAAUUCUCAUGCCUCAGCCUCCCGAGUAGCUGGGACUACAGGCACGUGCCACCAUGCCUGGCUAAUUUUUGUAUUUUUAGUAGAGACAGGGUUUCACCAUGUUGGUCAGGCUAGUCUUGAACUCCUGACCUCAAGUGAUCCGCCCAUCUUGGCCUCCCAAAGUGCUGGGAUUACGGGUGUGAGCCACUGCACUUGGCCAAGGAUGUAGUUUUCAUUGAUGUUAAAAAGCUAAUCAAAUAAUUGACAAAAAUCUUCCUCAGGUACAAUGAGACAACCUAACUUUGACUAUGGUGUAAGAAAAAGUGCCACAGACGUGAUAAAUUGAACAUAAUAUUGCAUGCUUUACAAUUUUGUAGAAUUUUAUGUUUUAACUCUUCCACUAAGCUUCCAUUAAAGACUUUUU
rnacentral:lncRNA from 1 species